UACGUAGGAUGCAAGCGUUGUCCGGAAUUAUUGGGCGUAAAGAGCUCGUAGGCGGUUUGUCGCGUCUGCCGUGAAAGUCCGGGGCUCAACUCCGGAUCUGCGGUGGGUACGGGCAGACUAGAGGUGAUGUAGGGGAGACUGGAAUUCCUGGUGUAGCGGUGAAAUGCGCAGAUAUCAGGAGGAACACCGAUGGCGAAGGCAGGUCUCUGGGCAUUAACUGACGCUGAGGAGCGAAAGCAUGGGGAGCGAACAGG
rnacentral:rRNA from 1 species